GCGGGCAUGGCGAAAUUGGUAGACGCAAGGGACUUAAAAUCCCUCGGCUCGCAAGAGCUGUGCCGGUUCGACCCCGGCUGCCCGCACCA
rnacentral:tRNA from 6 species